rnacentral:RNase_P_RNA from 1 species
UCUUAACGGAGAGGAAAGUCCAUGCUCGCACCUCCUGCGAUGGAGGUAGUGAUUGCGCUGAGGGAAGAAAUAACCUCAGGUGCGGCAGCGCGCAACGGAAGGCGAACGUCCCCCGCGGACGGGAACCCAUAAAGGCGCCACAGAGACGAGCUUGAUGGCAACAUCAAGAUGAAACGAGGCAAGCCCCGCAAGCGAGAAACCCAAAAUUGGUAGGGGAAGCGCCCAAAGCGAAUUGAAGCCGAGGGGGCCAGGGAAACCUGAGAUAAAUUGCCGUCCCCGACAAAACAUGGCUUAUAG